AUGCCGCUCAGCGCCCACCUGCCUCCACCGCCGCGGUUUGACGCUGUUUCUCAGCCCUUGCUCUCUUCUCCAGCCACCGGCACCCCACAAGUGGCACGGGUGCAGAGCCCCCCCGUGCAGGCACCACGGCACAGGGCUUGCAGGAAACGCUCUGCUCCUGGCAGACCGCAGCACCUCCCCGCGAGCCAUCCGAGACCCGCAUCCCUCCCCGCUCCCGAGGCCCCUUCGACACCAAGCCGAGCGGCAGCAGGUUCAGUCUCUGAUGGAAGAGGAGCACCCGAGGCCGUUUACACGAGCAUGGAUAUUGCACACACAGUUUCUCAUCCCGGAGCCUGCAGAGACUUUCUGAAGCACAACAAGAGGCAGCCCUUGCCCAGCCAGGGCUUUGCUUCCCCGCUGCCAAAACCAACAGCAAAGCGUACAAAACAAACCCGCCGGGUGCCGGGGAGGAACUUGCCUGGUGGCUUCCAAAGCGGGAGCACGUCACCAUCCGCCUCCGGGAGAGCAGCCUGCCACACCAGCACCCUGCAGCCUUGGAGGCAGCUGCAGCCAGCCCCUAUUUCAAGGCUGCUGCCCCGGCCCGUUCCCCGCAGCUGCGGGCGCUGCCGGCCGGCUCAGCCGCUGCCCGGGCGGGCGGCAGGGCUCCGCGCACCUGGGGCCCCUCGCCCCGCUCGCCGCCCGACGGCACCUGCGGGCCAGCGCGCCCCCGCGCUGCGGAGGGGCUCCGCGCUAAUCAGCACGCGCACAGCCACUCGUUACCGUUAUUACUCUGACGUUAUUAAUUUCCCCACUUCCCAUCCGCAGGAGCUGUUCAGCGACUGUUUCGGUCGUUUCAUUUCAAUCUGCUUUAGUAGCGGGAGAUGGAAAUUAAAGGCAGGCGUUUAUCCCGGGGUCACGCAGCCCCUUCCCUCCCUCCCGCAGCCUCCCUCCGCUCCAGCACGCCGAGCCACCUCCGUCCCCAGGCGUGCCCAGCCUGCGCUUGCUCCCGGCCUUCCCGGGGCGGCCGCGGGUCCGGCCACCCCGCGGGGGUCUGCCAGCCCGGAGAGCAGAGCUGAGGGUGACCUGCCCUGCAGGGAGCUCGUUGCACCCGUGCUGUUUGCGGCGCGCUUCGGCGCUGCCUCGUGCCCACGGGCAUCCCGCGGGAGGUGCCGGCGGCAGGCCCCGGCAGCGCCGUCCCCUGCGCAGCGCCCGAGCCCGGAUGGGAUUUGGUAG
rnacentral:lncRNA from 1 species